GAUGAACGCUGGCGGCAUGCCUAAUACAUGCAAGUCGAACGAGAGGAAGGAAAGCUUGCUUUUCUGAAUCUAGUGGCGAACGGGUGAGUAACACGUAGGUAACCUGCCCAUGUGCCCGGGAUAACUUCUGGAAACGGAUGCUAAAACCGGAUAGGUAGCAGACAAGCAUUUGACUGCUAUUAAAGUGGCUAAGGCCAUGAACAUGGAUGGACCUGCGGUGCAUUAGCUAGUUGGUGAGGUAACGGCCCACCAAGGCGACGAUGCAUAGCCGGCCUGAGAGGGCGGACGGCCACAUUGGGACUGAGACACGGCCCAACAUCCUACGGGAGGCAGCAGUAGGGAAUUUUCGUCAAUGGGGGGAACCCUGAACGAGCAAUGCCGCGUGAGUGAGGAAGGUCUUCGGAUCGUAAAGCUCUGUUGUAAGAGAAAAACGACAUUCAUAGGGAAUGAUGAGUGAGUGAUGGUAUCUUACCAGAAAGUCACGGCUAACUACGUGCCAGCCGCCGCGGUAA
rnacentral:rRNA from 1 species